rnacentral:rRNA from 1 species
AUUAGAGUUUGAUCCUGGCUCAGGAUGAACGCUGGCGGCGUGCUUAACACAUGCAAGUCGAACGAUGAAGCCCAGCUUGCUGGGUGGAUUAGUGGCGAACGGGUGAGUAACACGUGAGCAACCUGCCCCUGACUCUGGGAUAAGCGCUGGAAACGGUGUCUAAUACUGGAUACGAACAAGAAUCGCAUGGUUACUUGUUGGAAAGAUUUUUCGGUUGGGGAUGGGCUCGCGGCCUAUCAGCUUGUUGGUGAGGUAAUGGCUCACCAAGGCGUCGACGGGUAGCCGGCCUGAGAGGGUGACCGGCCACACUGGGACUGAGACACGGCCCAGACUCCUACGGGAGGCAGCAGUGGGGAAUAUUGCACAAUGGGCGCAAGCCUGAUGCAGCAACGCCGCGUGAGGGAUGGCGGCCUUCGGGUUGUAAACCUCUUUUAGCAGGGAAGAAGCGAGAGUGACGGUACCUGCAGAAAAAGCACCGGCUAACUACGUGCCAGCAGCCGCGGUAAUACGUAGGGUGCAAGCGUUAUCCGGAAUUAUUGGGCGUAAAGAGCUCGUAGGCGGUUUGUCGCGUCUGCUGUGAAAUCUGGGGGCUCAACCCCCAGCCUGCAGUGGGUACGGGCAGACUAGAGUGCGGUAGGGGAGAUUGGAAUUCCUGGUGUAGCGGUGGAAUGCGCAGAUAUCAGGAGGAACACCGAUGGCGAAGGCAGAUCUCUGGGCCGUAACUGACGCUGAGGAGCGAAAGGGUGGGGAGCAAACAGGCUUAGAUACCCUGGUAGUCCACCCCGUAAACGUUGGGAACUAGUUGAGGGGUCCAUUCCACGGAUUCCGUGACGCAGCUAACGCAUUAAGUUCCCCGCCUGGGGAGUACGGCCGCAAGGCUAAAACUCAAAGGAAUUGACGGGGACCCGCACAAGCGGCGGAGCAUGCGGAUUAAUUCGAUGCAACGCGAAGAACCUUACCAAGGCUUGACAUAUACGAGAACGGGCCAGAAAUGGUCAACUCUUUGGACACUCGUAAACAGGUGGUGCAUGGUUGUCGUCAGCUCGUGUCGUGAGAUGUUGGGUUAAGUCCCGCAACGAGCGCAACCCUCGUUCUAUGUUGCCAGCACGUAAUGGUGGGAACUCAUGGGAUACUGCCGGGGUCAACUCGGAGGAAGGUGGGGAUGACGUCAAAUCAUCAUGCCCCUUAUGUCUUGGGCUUCACGCAUGCUACAAUGGCCGGUACAAUGGGCUGCAAUACCGUGAGGUGGAGCGAAUCCCAAAAAGCCGGUCCCAGUUCGGAUUGAGGUCUGCAACUCGACCUCAUGAAGUCGGAGUCGCUAGUAAUCGCAGAUCAGCAACGCUGCGGUGAAUACGUUCCCGGGUCUUGUACACACCGCCCGUCAAGUCAUGAAAGUCGGUAACACCUGAAGCCGGUGGCCUAACCCCUUGUGGGAGGGAGCUGUCGAAGGUGGGAUCGGUAAUUAGGACU